UGCUGCAUGGCUGUCGUCAGCUCGUGUUGUGAAAUUGUUGGGUUAAGUCCCGCAACGAGCGCAACCCUUAUCCUUUGUUGCCAGCGGUCCGGCCGGGAACUCAAAGGAGACUGCCAGUGAUAAACUGGAGGAAGGUGGGAUGACGUCAAGCCAUCAUGGCCCUUACGACCAGGGCUACACACGUGCUACAAUGGCGCAUACAAAGAGAAGCGACCUCGCGAGAGCAAGCGGACCUCAUAAAGUGCGUCGUAGUCCGGAUUGGAGUCUGCAACUCGACUCCAUGAAGUCGGAAUCGCUAGUAAUCGUGGAUCAGAAUGCCCACGUCGAUACGUUCCGGCCUU
rnacentral:rRNA from 1 species